CAGCCGUAAACUAUGCGCGUUAGGUGUAUCGGUGACCACGAGUUACCGAGGUGCCGAAGGGAAACCGUGAAACGUGCCGCCUGGGAAGUACGGUCGCAAGGCUGAAACUUAAAGGAAUUGGCGGGGGAGCACCACAACAGGUGGAGCCUGCGGUUUAAUUGGACUCAACGCCGGGAAGCUCACCGGAUAGGACAGACAUAUGAUAGUCGGGCUGAAGACUCUACUUGAUGAUCUGAGAGGAGGUGCAUGGCCGUCAGUGACU
rnacentral:rRNA from 1 species